AUACGUAGGGGGCAAGCGUUAUCCGGAAUCACUGGGCGUAAAGGGCGCGUAGGCGGCUUUUUAAGUCAGGCGUGAAAGCCCCGGGCUCAACCUGGGAAUAGCGUUUGAUACUGGAAGGCUUGAGUGCGGAAGAGGAGAGUGGAAUUCCUAGUGUAGAAGUGAAAUUCGUAGAUAUUAGGAGGAACACCGGAGGCGAAGGCGGCUCUCUGGUCCGCAACUGACGCUGAGGCGCGAAAGCGU
rnacentral:rRNA from 1 species